rnacentral:lncRNA from 1 species
AGUAUUGCAGAAACUUGGAGAAACUGUUUGGAUGGUGCAACUGAUUUUAAAGAGCUGAUUCCAGAAUUCUACGGUGAAGAUGUCAGCUUUUUGGUGAAUAGCCUGAGGUUGGAUUUGGGGAAGAAGCAAGGAGGGCAGCUGGUUGAAGAUGUUGAGCUCCCGCCAUGGGCCCAGAGUCCCGAGGACUUCCUCCAGAAGAGCAGAGACGCGCUGGAAAGCGACCACGUGUCCGAGCACCUUCACGAGUGGAUCGAUCUCGUGUUUGGCUACAAGCAAAAGGGGAGGGAUGCUGUUGAAGCCCAUAACGGUGCGUAACCAUUAUUGAAGCGUCCUUUAGUGUUUGAUGGAGAUGAGAGAGAAUUUCUCCCCUCCCCCCGCCCCAACCACGAUGAGCUUGCAACACUCGAGCUUGUUUUCUGGGCAGAAGACCUUAGCUCAGCAGCCAGGGCCUCCUGGCUCCAGGACCCCGGGUUAGAUAAUGAGUGAAAGAGGAGGAAGUGCUUUUGCCUAAAGAUGCCUCCUUCCUGUGAUCCUCGGGUCUUUUCCUGAAGAAUUCUAGUUUUAGCCUGGGCUCUCCAGCCGUUCAGUGAUUUCUGCUAAAACUCAGACUGGAACAGAACACGACUCCGGAUCCCACGAGGGGUCUUUGUAACUGAGCGGAGAGCAGCGAGCGGCGGCCAGCUGCCCUUCAGCAUCACCUCUUCAGUGUGGGUUCCUCCCCUGCCCACGCUCCUCCGUGUUGCUGGCCAGGAAGUGGCACUGACCGCUCUUACCUCGCAGGUGCUCUGUGCUCCCUGGGGCUGAGGGCUGCUGCUCACCCGGGGUGAGCCCUAUGCUGAGGUGAUACCACCUUGCUGCCACUUAGUUGCUGCUCAGGGAGGGAUAGAAGUUCAAGGGUUUUUUGUUUUGUUUUGUUUUGGUAUUUGCCCAAGUGGGAUUUUUUUUUUUUUUCCCCUUUUUUAGGGCCACGCUUGCAGCAUAUGGAGGUUCCCAGGCUAGGGUUGAGUUGGAGCUACCGCUGCUGGCUUACACCACAGCCUCAGCAGUGCGGGAUCCAAGCCACGUCUGUGACCUACACAGCAGCUGACAAUGCUGUAUCCUCAACCCACUGAGCAGAGCCAGGGAUCUAACCCACAUCCUCAUGGAUCCUAGUUGGGUUCUUUAACCCCUGAGCCAUGACAGGAACUCCCCAAGUGGGAUGGUAUUAGG